UGGUGCCACUCCUCAUGGGUGCUUGGGGCCAGGGCAGCCGUGGCCCCCGCCCAUCCGCCCUUCCCUGCUCACAGUGGGAGCCGGCUUGUCAGACGCCACAGCCCUCGGCACGGGCCCACUCAGCCCCCAGCUCUGGGACCAGUAGCCGCCCUGGAUCCAUCCGGAGGAAGCUGCAGCCCUCGGGUGAGCCUGGAGUGGCAGUGUGGGUGGGGAGUCUCCCCAGGGUAAUAGUCACCAGGCUGCCCUUACCUGGAUGGGCUUUCUCUUUUCUUUCCUUUUUAAAAAGUUCUUACACCUUCUCCAGAACCUGUUUUACAACCUCCCCUGCCCCCAGGCAGUAGUCAGGGCAGACAGUGCUGUGUCCGUUCUGCAGGUGGGAAAUGGAAGGUCUGUGGGAAGGGGGCAGUGUAAGGAGACCCCAGCCUCUCAGCCGGGGGUGCUGACUCUACCCUGGGACCCUGCUCUCUGAGCAU
rnacentral:lncRNA from 1 species